AACCUCCGCCUCCCGGGUUCAAGUGAUUCUCCUGCCUCAGCCUUCCAAGUAGCUGGGAUUACAGGAACGCGUCACCACGCUCAGCUAAUUUUUGUAUUUUUAGUAGAGACAGGGUUUCACCAUGUUGGUCAGGAUUGUCUCGAUCUCUUGACCUCGUGAUCCACCCGCCUUGGCCUCCCAAAGUGCUGGGAUUAUAGGUGUGAGCCACCGUGCCUGGCCCCCAGAUUCCACUAAAUUCUAAAGAGACCUUUCAGGUCAGUACGUUUUGCCCUGCAGGGAUUUUGUUUUAAUCUUUUGUGAUACAGUUAGAUUCUUGGUCACAUUCUGUGUUCCAUCCAGGGAUAUUCCCACAUAUUAAAUAAUGUAAUUCCACUUGCAUACAUUAUGAUUUACUCUGGGCUUUAAAAUUCUAUCACUUUUCACAAGUGGACAGGGACAGGUAUCCACAGUUAAAGUAUCACAUGGAGUACUUCAAAUCCCCACCGCCAUGAACCCCGUGUCACCACUGAUCAGUUUGCUAUCUCUGUUGUUUUGCCUUUCCAGCAUGUCUAUAAGUGGGGACAUACAGCCUCUGCAUCCUGGCUCUCUCAUGAAGCAGUGUGCCUGUGAGGUCCAUCCAGGUAGCAUGGGUGGAUAGGUCAUGACUUUCUUUCUCUCUCAUAAAGCAGUGUGCCUGUGAGGUCCAUCCAGGUGGCACGGGUGGAUAGGUCAUGCCUUUCUUUUGCUGAAUAGCAUUCCAUUGCACCGCGUACUUCAGUUUGGUUAUGCAUUCAGCUACUGAAGAAUGUCAUGAUUCCUUUAAUUUUUGGCUAUUAUGAAUGGUGCUUCUAUACAUGUGUGUGCUGGUUUUUACUUGGACAUAAUUUUUCAAGGCAGUUGUCUAAAUACCUAAGAAGGAGACUGUUGGAUCAGAUGGUGAGACUUGUUUAGUUUUUGGAAAAACUGCUGAAGUGACUGUACCCUUAUGCCUUCCCCCAGCAAUGAAUGAGACCUCCUAUUGCAAUUGCUACUGUUCUUUAGAUUUUAGCCAUUUUAAUAGAUGUACAGUACUAUCUCAUUUAAUCUGCUUUUCCCUCAUGACAAGUUUGUUGAGUAUUAAUUAAUUUGGAUGCUUAUUUGGUAUCUGUGCAUCUUCUUUGCUGAGGUGUCUUUUCAGAUCUUCACAUAUUUUCAAUUGGGUUGUUCAUCUAAUUCUUUUUGAGUUUUAGAGGUUUUUUUUAAAAAAAUAUUUUGCAGACAAGUCCUUUUUCGGACGUGUUUCCCAAAUAUUUUCUUUUUUUUUCUUGAGACAGGGUCUUACUCCAUCACCCAGGCUGGAGUGCAGUGGUGCGAUCUCAGCUCACUGCAACCUCUGCCUCCUGGGUUCAAGCAAUUCUCCUGCCUCAGCCUCCCGACUAACUGAGAUUACAGGCGUGUGCCACCACAUCCAGCUAAUUUUUUUUGUUUUGUUUUGUAUUUUUAGUAGAGACGGGGUUUCACCAUGUUGGCCAGGCUAGUCUCGAACUCCUGACCUCAAAUGAUCCACCCACUUUGGCCUCCCAAAGUGCUGCGAUUAUGGGUAUGAGCCACCUUGCCCAGCUGUUUCCCAAAUAUUUUCUAUCAAUCAGUCUGUGAAUUGCUUUUUUGUUCUCUUAACCAGAGCAGCCAUUUUAAAUUUUAAUAAAGUCCCCGUUACUGCUUUGGUUUCUUUCGUGGGUUGGCUUUUGGUAUUGCAUCUAGAAACUCAUCACCCAAACCAAGGCCAUGUAGAUAUUUUUCUCGGCUUUCUUCUAUAACUUUCACAACUUUGCACUUGAAAAUUUAAGUCUAUGGACUAUUUUGAGUGAAUUUUUGGAUAAAAUACAAGGUUUUUGUCUCCAUUCAUUUCUUUCCCCUAUGGUUUGCAAUUGUUCUGUUGUCUUUUGUGGAACAGACUUCUCUUUCUCCACUGAGUUGCCUUUGUCCCUUCGACAAAGUCAGUUGGCUUGAGUCUGUUUGGGGGCUCUCUGUUCUGUCCCACUUAUCUAUGUGUCUAACCGCUUCACCACUGCCACGCUCUCUUCAUUACUGUGGCUUUAGGGUGAGUGUUCAGAUCCAGAUGUGUGAGGUCUUUAACUUUGUUCUCCUUCAGUCUUAUUUCAUCCAUUCUGGGUUUAGGAACAGUUUGUCGAUAUCUUUGCCUGGAAUUUAACGGGGAUUUGGCUGAAUCUAUAGAUCAAUUUGGAAAGAAUUGUCACCUUCACAAUAAUGAGUGCACUUCUCCUAAAUAAGGAACAUCUCUGCAUUUACUUAUACCUCUUUUGGUUUCUCUCAACUGUGAUUCAUGGUUUUCCGAAUGCAUGUUUGCACACCUUUUGUUACGCUGAUACUUAAUGGAUUCAGCUUUAGGGGUGCUAUUGUAAAUGGUAGUUUAAUAUUUCUAGUUCCAAUUAUUUCCAUCCAUUAUUGGCGAUAUGAAGAAACUCAACUGACUUUUGCCUACUGGACAUCUUUUUUAGUUUUUAUUUUAUUUAUUUUUUUGAGACGGAGUUUCACUCUUGUUGCCCAGGCUGGAGUGCAAUGGUGCAGCUCACCGAAACCUCCGCCUCCUGGGUUCAAGCGAUUCUCCUGCCUCAGACUCCCGAGUAGCAGGAAUUACAGGCACGCGCCACCACGCCCAGCUAAUUUUUGUAUUUUUAGUAGAGACAGGGUUUCUGCACGUUGGUCAGGCUGGUCUCAAACUCUCGACCUCAGGUGAUCCGCCCGCCUCGGCCUCCCAAAGUGCUGGGUUUACACGCGUGAGCCACCGCGCCCGGGCCAUCUUUUUUAGUUUUUAAAAUCUCCAUCCGUUCCGAUCAAGGCACGGGAUGGUGGCCUCGAUUUCAGUUGACAUUUCCGAAAUCACGGCCCGCUGAUUUUCAGAGAUUCCCCAGGACUGCCGCGAGGGGGCGCCCGGCUCCCGCCCAACCUGGAGCACGCGCGGGAACCGCGGCGGAUCCGCACUCGUCGCCCCGGGGCGUCCACCGGGAAGACGGAGCCACGUUCUCUUCAGGACCCGCCCGGGAGCGGCCGCGGUUCGGGACACCCGGUCACCAGAUGGCACCGAAAGCGAAGGAAGCUCCUGCUCCUCCUAAAGCCGAAGCCAAAGUGAAGGCUUUAAAGUCCAAGAAGGCAGUGUUGAAGGUGUCCACAGCCACACGCAAAAAAGAAGAUCUGCAUGUCACUCACCUUCAGGUGGCCCAAGACACUGCGACUCCGGAGGCAGCCCAAAUAUCCUCGGAAGAGCACCCCCAGGAGAAACAAGCUUGACCACUAUGCUAUCAAGUUUCCACUGACCACUGAGUUGGCUGGAAGAAGAUACAAGAAAACAACAUGCUUGUGUUCUUUGUGGAUGUUAAAGCCAACAAGCACCAUAUCAAACAGGCCGUGAAGAAGCUCUAUGACAGUGAUGUGGCCAAGGUCACCACCCUGAUUUGUCCUGAUAAAGAGAAGAAGGCAUAUGUUCGACUGGCUCCUGAUUAUGAAGCUUUGGAUGUUGCAACAAAAUUGGGAUCAUCUAAACUGACCCCAGCUGGCUAACUCUAAAUAUAUGUGUAUCUUUUCACCAUAAAAAAUAAUGUUUUUCAUAAGAAUGACAACUUAAUUAGAACCAAAUCUAUAGGCUUUAAGAUUUUACAUUUCUGUAAGUAUAAUAUUAGCUUAUUUGACUAGAACUCAAGCAGAAUGGGAAUUUAUGUUUGUUUUAUAUUCAAUAGUGAUAACUUUGAAGACAUAGUUGUUUUAUUACACCAAAAAUAUUAUAUUAAUCUCAUUUAACUAAGUUUUAUCCAAAUCAUGUUAACUUAAAAAACAUUUGAUCAGUUACUAUAUUUCUAGGAGUUUGGUGAAUAUUUAUUUAUAAAUGGUUAUUUUUUUCCAAGCCAAGUUAGAAUAGAGCACUUUUAGAGGAUUUUAUAAAUGAAUUUUGCAGUGGUAUCCGGAGUUAAGAAAAUAUCACAUGUACAUAACAUACAUUAAUAGAUAUACAAACACAAAUAGAGAUUUCAUAGCUUUCAUCCUGAAAUUUCAGCCAUGAAUCAGGCAUAAAUAUUCUGAUGGUUAAUUUUAGACAUCUACUUGACUGGAUUAAGAGACACACAUAGCUGGUCAAACACGAUUUCAGCCAUGAAUCAGGCAUAAAUAUUCCGAUGGUUAAUUCUAGACAUCUACUGGACUGGAUUAAGGGACACACACAGCUGGUCAAACACAAUUUCUGGGCAUAUCUGUGAGGGUGUUUCUGGAAGACACUGAGAUAACCCUGACCUAGUGUGGAUGGGCACUGAUAGGGUUUGGCUGUGUCCCCACCCAGAUCUCAUCUUGAAUUGUAGUUCCUAUAAUCCCUACAUGUCAUGGGAGGGACCCGGUGGGAGGUGAUUGAAUCAUGGUGGUGGUUACUGCCAUGCUGUUCCCAUGACAGUGAGUGAGUUCUCAUGAUCUGAUGGUUUUAUAAGGGGCUGUUCCCCUUUGGCGCAGCACUUCUCCUUGUUGCUGCCAUGUGAAGAAGGACAUCUUUGCUUCCCCUCUGCCAUGAUUGUGAGGCCCCUGCAGCCACGUGGAACUGUCAACCCAUUAAACCUCUUUGUUCUUUAUAAAUUGCUCAGACUCACGUAUUUCUUCAUCGCUGUAUAAAAAUGGAUGAAUACAGGCACCAUCCAAUUGGUUGAGAGCCAAGAUAAACAAGGAAGAGGAAAGGUGAAUUAUCUCCUUCUGAAAUGGAAACAUCCUUCUUCUCCUGCCCUUGACAUCAGAACUUCAGGGUCUCAGAGCUUUGGCCUCAGAAUCAGAGUUACACCAUUGGCUUCCCUGAUUCUGAGUCCUUUAUAUCUGGAGUGAGCCACGCUGCCAACUUUCCUGGUUCUCCAACUUGGAGACAGGCUAUUGUGUAACUUCUCAGCCUCCAUAAUUAUGUGAACCAAUUCCCCUAAUGAGUCUUCUCUCAUCUAUCUAUCUACAUAUAUCCUAUUGAUUCUGCCUUUCUGGAGAACCCUGACUAAUGUUAUUACAAUAAUACAAAAUUCACUAGUUUA